AACGAACGCUGGCGGCAUGCCUAACACAUGCAAGUCGAACGAGAUCUUCGGGUCUAGUGGCGCACGGGUGCGUAACGCGUGGGACUCUGCCCUUUGGUUCGGAAUAACAGUUGGAAACGACUGCUAAUACCGGAUGAUGACGAAAGUCCAAAGAUUUAUCGCCAGAGGAUGAGCCCGCGUAGGAUUAGCUAGUGGGUGUGGUAAAGGCGCACCAAGGCGACGAUCCUUAGCUGGUCUGAGAGGAUGAUCAGCCACACUGGGACUGAGACACGGCCCAGACUCCUACGGGAGGCAGCAGUGGGGAAUAUUGGACAAUGGGCGAAAGCCUGAUCCAGCAAUGCCGCGUGAGUGAUGAAGGCCUUAGGGUUGUAAAGCUCUUUUACCCGGGACGAUAAUGACAGUACCGGGAGAAUAAGCUCCGGCUAACUCCGUGCCAGCCGCCGCCGUAA
rnacentral:rRNA from 1 species